rnacentral:lncRNA from 1 species
UCCCAGAUAGGCAUAUCUCCUCUAGGCUGUUGCUCAAAUGUCACAAUCUUAGAACUUCCCUGACCACUCUUUCUAAAUAUCACCCCCCUGUCUAUUUCACUAUCCCGAUUUAAUUUUAUUCACAGCAAUUACAAACACCUAAUACAUUACUUGUAUUUAGGGACCACAUGAUCCCAACAGAAUGUAAGCUCCAUGAGGAAAGGUUGAUUUUCUCUGUCCUAACUGUAAAUACAGAGUUGUGCUUAAUGCAUACUUUGGAGAGAAUGCAUGAAUGAUGGAAUGAACAAACAAAUUUAAACUUGUUGAGAGAGGCAUAGCUAGACAGGCUGAGGAUUCUGCUACGAAACAUAUUCAGGGAUGACAAGAUGGUGACAAAGCCAUGGUCUUUAUCUCACCUACGUGGUGGUGUCCUUGGGUCCUCUCAGAGUUGACCCCUUUCCUAAGAGAAUGGAAGGUCCUGUUGUCUCUUCCACAUAUUACUCGCAGUCAGCGACAGGGGCUUUCCCACGCCAGGCCUGCAGAUCCCAGUCGGAAGCUUUAUCUAUCCUGCCCCUUGGGGGACUGCGGCUGGCUUUCCCCCAUGAGACCUAUUCUGUAUUGAACAGGAAAGCACAAACAAUCACAAUGCCCAGCAAAGAUAAAGUGUUUUCCAUGCUCUCUGUUACGACAGUGAUCCCCAUAGAGACGUAAUCUUCAGUUUACGAAGACUUUUUUCUGAGUCCCAAAUUGCAGAAAUCUGUGGGGUUUUCCCCCUAACCUUGCCCUUCCGCCCUUUGUGGAUCCUCCUGGAAUGGUCCACGGGCAUCUAUAUCUGCUGUUCCCCAAUCCCACCAGCAAGGGGCGCGCGAGAUGAAACAGUUCUGUCCUGGGAUGUACCACCGAGGGGUAGCGGAAAGACCACCCACUCUGGAAGGUACCAUUGGGAGAGGGCGUGUGACAACAGAGAGGGUCCCCUUACACCGCGUCGGGCAUGGACCGCAGUUCCCAGCAGCGGCACUCAUGGCGCCACUAGGUCCAUCCCCACUCGCUCCUCUUGGUCUUCCCACUGCUUUUGAAUCCGAGUGGACACAGGACCAGCAGCCCAGUGUUGAGCAACCUCAACAAGAGGAACCGCCAGCUGAGAUUCAGGAUAUCACACCUGGGAAGGAGGAAGUAAAUGGAGAGGAUCCGGUGAAUCAUAAUGAAGAGAAGAGAGGAUGCCUCUGGAGGUAA